UAUUUGCUAAUUUUUGCGAUUUCUAUUGUUUAAUGUAAAUUCGUCUUUUUAGGAUAUGUCGAGCCAACAAAGAAAGCGCAGUUGGAAAAUUGAGUAAUUAGUAAUGAAGUAGCAAGCAUAUUUGGAAAAUUAUGCCGAUAAGCAGGAUGGAAUUUGGGAAAAAAUGUUAUAAAUCGAGUGGCUCAUUUACGAUGCGCUCCAAACAUUUGGCGAACUUUUUUUCGCCUUUUCAACGUGCUAAGUAACAAGUUAAGAUGACUGCCAUCACGGCCGGUAAGAAACCGCAAGCAAAGGGCAGACAACCUUCCAGGAAGCUGCCUCCUGUCCCCGAGCCGAAGCUGCAGUUCAGCUAGAGCAGGUCAGCAAAUUGCUACCCUGAUCAAACGUAAACUAAAGCGCUCUGCUGUGAUUGCACUCCGUAAAUGUGAAAACUUGGUGCAUGCUGAGAA